CUCGAUUACCAGCUGAUUAUGCGAUUUGGAUGGGGAAAUUACAUUCACUUGAUGACUUCAAAAAAAGAUAUGCUGUCGAUGAAACUUAUUACACUGACGAGAUUGCCAAUAUUCUCAAGAAUAAAGGAGCUACCACUCUUUGCACUUUAAGUGGAACAAACUCGGACAGCGGACUUCCAGUCCGUGAAGCUGUUUUCGAUGGAAUUGGACAAUUCUCUGUCAACAACACGACUUUGUAUCCGGAAAUAUGUGAGUGAACCAUUAUUAUUGUUUCAAACUUACACUUUAAUCGAGGAAGGAAAAGUAUUUCAAGAAGUGCCCAUGAUCGUGCAAAAGAUUAAUAAAAUUGGGAACUUUUUGGAUCAGAAAAUAAAUCAGGAAACGGGAAAUAAACUCGAGAAUUUGAAUAAGUUUUCGGAAAAUAAUGACGAAUCAAAUAUAGUAAUAGCAAAAGGUUUACCAUAUUCGUUGAAUAUUGAAAAUUUCGAUAAAAAUAUCAUAAACAGAAUCGAUAUUAAUACUGAGGAGGGAACUGCAAUUUUAUUUACUUCGGAUUUGGAAUUUCUGAAAAAUACAGAAAUUGAACAAGUUCUCAAUAAUUUAGAUCCACAUUCAAAUAGUUGCAGUAAUUAUUCCUACAUUGAAAAUGCAAUUUCAAAUGAGAUAAAUUGCAGAGUCGCUCUGCAGACACUCUCGAGAUUAAUUGAAAUGGAAAAUUACAAAUUUCAUCAGGAUUUUGCAUUUUAUGAAAAAACUCUUGUGAAAGCGAAAAAUCGUGAUUCAGUAUUAAAAAAAUUAGUGGAUAUCAUUUCAAAAAGUCGUGACAGUGAAUCGAUUAUUGUUGGAAUGGAAAUUUUGAUCAAUGAUCGUGUCAGUCCAUUAAGAAAUAAUUAUCGUGAUCGUCUUCGAAACGAGAUAUUGAUUCGUAUUAUUGACGGAGAUUUUAGUGUUUCUCAAUUAAUUGACAUUGUUCGAAUUCUAAUUCUUUGUCGUGAUCCAUUUUACAAGGAGACAAUUGAUCUGCUCUGGAUUGGCAUCAAAGUUCGAGAAAACGACAUAAAUGCGGAGAAUAUUGUCGCUCUUUUUAGAAUUGUUCACUAUUUUCAAGACAGUAGAAAUCUUUUAUUGACGAUUCUCGUCAAUAGAUUACAACUAAUUUUUUCUAAAUUGUCGGCAACUCAAAUGGCCGAUAUUCUCGAUGUUUUUCACUAUAAUAAUUUCACGCGAGUAAAUUUAUUUGAUGUUGUCAAAAAUACAACGAGUCAAUGGAUCGUAAAUUAUUCAACGAUUUCAAAAGAAAAAGAACUUACCGAUAUUGUUGACAGUUUGGCGAGUGUGAAUUAUGUUGAUGAGAUAAUAAUUCAUGGUCUGGAAAAAUAUAUUCACGUUAAUGGGACAAAUAUAAAAGAUCCAAAAUUUGUUAGCGCUUUAAUGAAAUAUUGCGUUAAGGUUCGAUAUGCGAAUCCAACAAUUAUGGAAUUUGGUGCCAAAUAUCUUCAUUCUCAGGGAAAAAUUCUUCCUGUAAAAUUUCUCUCCCCUAUUUUUGCAACAUUUGGUUAUUUUCCAAGUACCACAACAAAAAACUGUGAAUCCGUUUUUGAGGACAUGACAGAAAUUUUACGUACUAAAUUUUCAAAUUUAGAUCUUCGAAGUUCUGUUGAAAUUUUGUUGAGCUACAUUUAUGCGGCAAAAUAUCCUCAACAUUUAAUAUUGUUACUUGAUAAGAAAUUUCAAGGGAAAAUUAGACGUGCCUUAAAAACGAAAAAAAAUCGAUCAAUAAUAUUGUUGAUAAAAAAAAUACAAACUAUCGAUUCGGUGAUGGCACUCGAGACAAAACAGCAAAAACAAUAUGGUCAACGAAAAAAUCGUGAAAAAUUGACAACAACGGCCGCGGCAUUAAUAAAAGAUUUACGAAUACGGCAAAUGGUGAAAAAAAUUCAUCAACAAUUGACAAGUCACAUCGGUGGUAUGGAGAGAUGUGGCAUUGAAUUGAUUUUAGCCGAUUUUCCAUUAAUUGACAUUUAUAAUAUUGAUAUUUUAAUAUUUCCCAAUGUCAUUCGUUUACCAAUAGUUGAAGUGAACAUGAAUACAAUAAAAAAUUGUAAGGCAAUUUUAAUUAAUUUACCGGAACAUUAUUGUUUUGGAGGCAAGGAAUUGAUUGGACCGCAAUUGUUGAGGAUUCGAGUGCUCAGGAAAUUGGGAUUUCAAGUUGCCACUUUAAAUUAUGACAUUUUAUCUCGCAUGGAUAAAAAUUCUGUUGAAUUUAAAAAUUAUUUGACGAAGCAAAUUGAUAGUGCAAUGUGAUUUCUGCAAAGCUAAUUUUUUGCAUUUUUUAAAGUAGGCAACUGUCUACUAUACCGACUGUACAUAGAUAGAGAACUGAAAUAAUAAAUCUUUGAGUUUCUCAUCUAUGUACUGUAGUCGUGUAAUUAAAUCGCCGCAAGAAAUAGAGGUUCUGAAGUAUGUAGGGAAAGUAAGUUCUGACGCACACAAGAAAGUAAUGAAAAAAGUGCGCCCAAAUUUAAUGGAAUAUCAGGCGGAAGCUGCAUUUAUGAAUC